UACGUAGGUCCCAAGCGUUAUCCGGAUUUACUGGGUGUAAAGAGUCUGUAGCAGGUUCUAUAAGUCUAUUUUUAAAGACCUCGGCUCAACUGAGGGAAGGGAAUGGAUACUGUAGAACUGGAGGUUAUGAGGGGUUAGUAGAAUUCCCGGUGGAGGGGUGAAAUCCGUUGAUAUUGGGAGGAAUGCCGAAAGCGAAAGCAGCUAACUAUUAUUAUCCUGACUGUGAGAGACGAAAGCAUGGGUAGCAAACGGG
rnacentral:rRNA from 1 species